rnacentral:rRNA from 1 species
UACGUAGGGGGCAAGCGUUGUCCGGAAUCAUUGGGCGUAAAGAGCGUGUAGGCGGCUCGAUAAGUCUGCUGUGAAAGUCCAGGGCUCAACCCUGGAAGGCCGGUGGAAACUGUCGGGCUAGAGUCCGGAAGAGGCGAGUGGAAUUCCCGGUGUAGCGGUGAAAUGCGCAGAUAUCGGGAGGAACACCAAUGGCGAAGGCAGCUCUGGGACGGUACUGACGCUGAGACGCGAAAGCGUGGGGAGCAAACAGG